CCGCCCGUGGCGGAGCCGCCGCCCGUGCCGCCCCCGCCGGCGGCCUUGACGUCGAGGGUGAGCGAGGGGCCGGGAUCGUUCCCCGGUGUGCAGG
rnacentral:tRNA from 1 species